CCCUUCGGGGUGUAAAGCUCUUUCGUCGGGGAAGAUAAUGACGGUACCUGAAGAAGAAGCUGCGGCUAACUACGUGCCAGCAGCCGCGGUAAUACGUAGGCAGCAAGCGUUGUUCGGAGUUACUGGGCGUAAAGGGUGCGUAGGCGGUUUUUUAAGUUUGGUGUGAAAUCUCCCGGCUCAACUGGGAGGGUGCGCCGAAUACUGAGAGGCUAGAGUGUGGGAGAGGAAAGUGGAAUUCCUGGUGUAGCGGUGAAAUGCGUAGAUAUCAGGAGGAACACCUGUGGUGUAAACGGCUUUCUGGACCAUAACUGACGCUGAGGCACGAAAGCGUGGGUAGCAAACAGGAUUAGAUACCCUGGUAGUCCACGCCCUAAACGAUGCAUAUUUGGUGUGGGCCAUUCAUUUGGU
rnacentral:rRNA from 1 species